rnacentral:rRNA from 1 species
UGGGGAAUAUUGCACAAUGGGCGCAAGCCUGAUGCAGCCAUGCCGCGUGUGUGAAGAAGGCCUUCGGGUUGUAAAGCACUUUCAGCGGGGAGGAAGGCGGUGAGGUUAAUAACCUCACCGAUUGACGUUACCCGCAGAAGAAGCACCGGCUAACUCCGUGCCAGCAGCCGCGGUAAUACGGAGGGUGCAAGCGUUAAUCGGAAUUACUGGGCGUAAAGCGCACGCAGGCGGUUUGUUAAGUCAGAUGUGAAAUCCCCGGGCUCAACCUGGGAACUGCAUCUGAUACUGGCAAGCUUGAGUCUUGUAGAGGGGGGUAGAAUUCCAGGUGUAGCGGUGAAAUGCGUAGAGAUCUGGAGGAAUACCGGUGGCGAAGGCGGCCCCCUGGACAAAGACUGACGCUCAGGUGCGAAAGCGUGGGGAGCAAACAGG